rnacentral:RNase_P_RNA from 1 species
AAAGUUUGACAGACAAUCGCUGGUAGCCAAGAUGCUACGAGAGGAAAGUCCGGGCUCCGCAUGGCAGGAUGCUGGAUAACGUCCAGUCGGCGCAAGCUGAAGGAUAGUGCCACAGAAAUGGACCGCCGAUGGCUGACUUAUGUCAGAACAGGUAAGGGUGGAACCGUGGUGUAAGAGACCACGAGGUGCGUAGGUGACUACGUUCCUGGUAAACCCCAUCUGGAGCAAAACCGAGAGAAUGCAGUAGCUUUGUGCUACAGCCUUAGCCUGAGGCGCGUUCGGGUGAGUUGCUUGAGCCAUAUAGCAAUGUAUGGCCUAGAUAGAUGAUUGUCGCUUGUAGUGGGAGGGUCGUUCCCGUUAUUACCACUUAUAGUACAGAACCCGGCUUAAGGCAAACUUUCCGC